rnacentral:rRNA from 1 species
UUGCGCCUACGGGACGCAGCAGUGGGGAAUAUUGGGCAAUGGGCGCAAGCCUGACCCAGCAAUGCCGCGUGGAGGAUGAAGGUUUUCGGAUUGUAAACUCCUUUUGUUAGAGAAGAUAAUGACGGUAUCUAACGAAUAAGCACCGGCUAACUCCGUGCCAGCAGCCGCGGUAAUACGGAGGGUGCAAGCGUUACUCGGAAUCACUGGGCGUAAAGAGCGCGUAGGCGGGAUAGCAAGUCAGAUGUGAAAUCCUAUGGCUUAACCAUAGAACUGCAUUUGAAACUGUUAUUCUAGAGUAUGGGAGG